CCCGGCCUUGGGAAAGUUACGGCCCGCCAAAGGGCUUAAAACUUUAAAAGGGAAUUGGGCGGGGGGAGCACUACCAACCGGGUGGGAGCCNUGCGGGUUUUAAUUNGGAUUCAACCGCCCGGGAAGCUUANCCGGGGGAGACACNCGGGAUGAAGGUCGGGCUGAAGACCCUACCAGACUAGCUGAGAGGUGGUGCAUGGCCGCCGUCAGUUCGCACUGUGAAGCAUCCUGUUAAGUCAGGCAACGAGCGAGACCCGCGCCCUCAGUUGCCAGCGGAUCNCUUUUGCGAUGCCGGGCNCACUGGGGGGACUGCCGGCGCUAAGCCGGAGGAAGGUGCGGGCAACGGCAGGUCCGUAUGCCCCGAAUCCCCCGGGCUACACGCGGGCUACAAUGGACGGGACAAUGGGUACCGACCCCGAAAGGGAUAGGUAAUCUCCUAAACCCGGUCCAACCUGGGAUCGAGGGCUGCAACUCGCCCUCGUGAACCUGGAAUCCGUAGUAAUGNNGCCUCAAAAUGGCGCGGG
rnacentral:rRNA from 1 species